rnacentral:rRNA from 1 species
GACAGAGGGGGCAAGCGUUGCUCGGAAUUACUGGGCGUAAAGGGCGCGUAGGCGGAAUGGCAAGUCGGUCGUGAAAUCCUUCGGCUCAACCGAAGAACGUCGAUCGAAACUGCCGUUCUUGAGGAUUGCAGAGGAGACUGGAAUUCCCGGUGUAGCGGUGAAAUGUGUAGAGAUCGGGAGGAACACCGGUGGCGAAGGCGGGUCUCUGGGCCUUACCUGACGCUGAGGAGCGAAAGCGUGGGGAGCGAACAGG